AGCAGCGUAGUGUAGUGGAAGCACGUUGGGCUCAUAACCCAAAGGUCGAACGAUCGAAACGUUCCGCUGCUA